GAUCCUGACUCAGGAUGAACGCUAGCGACAGGCCUAACACAUGCAAGUCGAGGGGCAUCGGGGCGAGGAGCAAUCCUUGCCGCCGGCGACCGGCGCACGGGUGAGUAACGCGUAUGCGACCUGCCCGUUGCAGGGGGAUAAUCGGGAGAAAUCCCGUCUAAUACCGCGUAAUGCCGCGGGGCUGCAUGGCCCCUGCGGCCAAAGGAAGCGAUUCCGGCAACGGAUGGGCAUGCGUG
rnacentral:rRNA from 1 species